AAGGUAAUAUGAUAUUUGGUCUGUCUUGAUGAUUUUUCGGUUUUCUCUUUGCUCAUUUUAGCUCAUCUAUCCUACUUGAUUUUGUGGCUAGUAUAGUAUUUUAUCAUGUUAAUUCAACUUUCUCUUUAAGGUUUAAUGCAAUUCUCUCUAAUUCCUUCUCUGUUUCAGAUUUCCUACAUAUAUUUCUGCUCCUAGCGAUAAUGGUUUUGCAUUGCUCUUACAGGUAAUAGGUAAAAGAAUGUUCAUAUGAGAAGAACGACCAAGGCAUGAGAGGAAGAUAAGAUUUUAUAUUUGAAAUGAUAAAGUUUAAGUGUUUAAGUUUCAUAAUUACGUAUAUAUUUAAAGAUAAUGUUUUAAGUUAGGUGAUACUGAACAAAAAACAUUUUUCAACUUUUUCCUACAAUUGAGUGUUUCAAAAUACUGAUAUGUUUAA